rnacentral:rRNA from 1 species
ACGCUCGACACCUACUGGAGGCAGCAGUGGGGAAUAUUGCACAAUGGGGGAAACCCUGAUGCAGCAACGCCGCGUGAAGGAAGACGGUUUUCGGAUUGUAAACUUCUGUUCUUAGUGAAGAUAGUGACGGUAGCUAAGGAGCAAGCCACGGCUAACUACGUGCCAUCAGCCGCGGUAAUCUGAGCGGGCUGGCAAGGC